rnacentral:tRNA from 1 species
GCCUGGGUGGCUCAGCGGUUGAGCGCCUGACUUCAGCCCAGGGCGUGAUCCUGGAGACCUAGGAUCGAGUCCUGCAUCGGGCU